rnacentral:rRNA from 1 species
CCUACGGGUGGCAGCAGUGAGGAAUAUUGGUCAAUGGACGAAAGUCUGAACCAGCCAAGUAGCGUGAAGGAUGACUGCCCUAUGAGUUGUAAACUUCUUUUAUAUGAGAAUAAAAUGGUCCACGUGUAGGAUUUUGUAUGUACCAUAUGAAUAAGGAUCGGCUAACUCCGUGCCAGCAGCCGCGGUAAUACGGAGGAUCCGAGCGUUAUCCGGAUUUAUUGGGUUUAAAGGGAGCGUAGGUGGAUUGUUAAGUUAGUGGUUAAAGUUUGCGGCUCAACUGGAAAAAUGCAGUUGAUACUGGCAGUCUUGAGUACAGUAGAGGUGGGCGGAAUUUGUGGUGUAGCGGUGAAAUGCUUAGAUAUCACGAAGAACUCCGAUUGCGAAGGCAGCUCACUGGACUGCAACUGACACUGAGGCUCGAAAGUGUGGGUAUCAAACAGGAUUAGAUACCCUUGUAGUC